rnacentral:rRNA from 1 species
GAUGAACGCUGGCGGCGUGCCUAAUACAUGCAAGUCGAGCGCACAGACGAGGAGCUUGUUCCUCUGACGUUAGCAGCGGACGGGUGAGUAACACGUGGAUAACCUACCUAUAAGCCUGGGAUAACUUCGGGAAACCGGAGCUAAUACCGGAUAAUAUAUUGAACCGCAUGGUUCAAUAGUGAAAGACGGUUUUGCUGUCCCUUAUGGUUGUAUCGCGGCCGCAUUUGCUAGUUGGAAAGGUAACGGCUUACCAAGGCAACGAUGCGUAGCCGACCUGAGAGGGUGGUCUGCCACACUGGAACUGGGACACGGUCCAGACCCCUACGGGAGGCAGCAGAAGGGAAUCUUCCGCAAUGGGCGAAGGCUUGACGGAGCAACGCCGCGUGGUGUAUGAAGGUCUGCGGUUCGUAAAACUCUGUUAUUAGGGAAGAACAAAUGUGUAAGUAACUAUGCACGUCUUGACGGUACCUAAUCAGAAAGCCACGGCUAACUACGUG